rnacentral:rRNA from 1 species
GUGAACCAGCGGAGGGAUCAUUACCGAGUUUACAACUCCCAAACCCAAUGUGAACGUUACCAAACUGUUGCCUCGGCGGGAUCUCUGCCCCGGGUGCGUCGCAGCCCCGGACCAAGGCGCCCGCCGGAGGACCAACCAAAACUCUUAUUGUAUACCCCCUCGCGGGUUUUUUUAUAAUCUGAGCCUUCUCGGCGCCUCUCGUAGGCGUUUCGAAAAUGAAUCAAAACUUUCAACAACGGAUCUCUUGGUUCUGGCAUCGAUGAAGAACGCAGCGAAAUGCGAUAAGUAAUGUGAAUUGCAGAAUUCAGUGAAUCAUCGAAUCUUUGAACGCACAUUGCGCCCGCCAGUAUUCUGGCGGGCAUGCCUGUCCGAGCGUCAUUUCAACCCUCGAACCCCUCCGGGGGGUCGGCGUUGGGGAUCGGCCCUCCCUUAGCGGGUGGCCGUCUCCGAAAUACAGUGGCGGUCUCGCCGCAGCCUCUCCUGCGCAGUAGUUUGCACACUCGCAUCGGGAGCGCGGCGCGUCCACAGCCGUUAAACACCCAACUUCUGAAAUGUUGACCUCGGAUCAGGUAG